UACGUAGGAUGCAAGCGUUGUCCGGAAUUAUUGGGCCUAAAGAGCGCGCAGGCGGUCUGACAAGUCAGAUGUGAAAGAGGCCGGCUUAACCGGCAAGGGUCAUUUGAAACUGUCAGACUAGAGUGCAGCAGAGGAUAGUGGAAUUCCCGGUGUAGUGGUGAAAUGCGUAGAUAUCGGGAGGAACACCAGUGGCGAAGGCGACUAUCUGGGCUGCAACUGACGCUGAGGCGCGAAGGCUAGGGUAGCAAACAGG
rnacentral:rRNA from 1 species